rnacentral:tRNA from 1 species
UUAAAAAUAAGCUAAAGAAAGCUUUUGGGUUCAUACCUCAAAAAUAAAGGAAAAACCUUUUUUUUAAA